UACGUAGGGUGCAAGCGUUGUCCGGAUUUAUUGGGCGUAAAGAGCUCGUAGGCGGUCUGUCGCGUCGGAUGUGAAAACCCAGGGCUCAACCCUGGGCCUGCAUUCGAUACGGGCAGACUAGAGUGUGGCAGGGGAGACUGGAAUUCCUGGUGUAGCGGUGAAAUGCGCAGAUAUCAGGAAGAACACCCGUGGCGAAGGCGGCUCUCUGGGACGGUACUGACGCUGAGACGCGAAAGCGUGGUGAGCGAACAGG
rnacentral:rRNA from 1 species